UACGUAGGAGGCGAGCGUUGUCCGGAUUUACUGGGCGUAAAGCGCGCGCAGGCGGCACUUCAAGUAAGGUGUGAAAUCUCCCUGCUCAACGGGGAGGGUGCACUUUAGACUGAGGAGCUAGAGGACGGUAGAGGGGGGGUGGAAUUGCUGGUGUAGCGGUGAAAUGCGCAGAUAUCAGGAGGAACACCAAUGGCGAAGGCAGCUCGCUGGGACGGUACUGACGCUGGAGGCGCGAAAGCGUGGGGAGCAAACAGG
rnacentral:rRNA from 1 species